GUGCUCACUUCAGUAGCACAUAUACUAAAAUUGGAACAAUACAGAGAAGAUUAGCAUGGCUGCUGCACAAGGAUGACACAAAUUCAUGAAGUGUUCCAUAUUUUU
rnacentral:snRNA from 1 species